UGUUGCCAAAGGGCCUAGCA
rnacentral:siRNA from 1 species